UAUAUAUUUCAAACAAAUACAUAUGGAAAAGAAUUCAAUCGUUCUUAUUCUUACCAAAAGCUAGCUGAGAAAGAAAACAUUACCAAAAGCUAUAAGAUCGCUCAAAGGAAAAUAUAUCAUCGAUUUAACCACAAAAAGAGAUUCACAUUCUAUUUAUUAUUUUAAAACGAUAUUACCGCAAAUUCCAUUUCCUAAAAAGGUGGUAACAAUAUUUGAAUACUUAGAAUUAGUUAUAACGUUAAUUAAAGACUUGACAGAGCAGAAGAAUACAUUAAUGAGAUAAUCUACAUUAUAAUAGGGCAGUUGCAUCACUCCUGAUGCGAUACGUCAGCGAUAUGUGGAUCCUAUUUUUAAAAAAUGAGAAAAAAAUGGCUGAAACAAAUAUAUAUUUAUGAAGGUCGGAAACCUUUGCUUCUUCGGUUUUCUCUGUGGGACUCAUACUUAUUUAUUUUAUCUAAUGAUUUAAUAAAUACUUUAUAACUCACGUUUUGAAAUGAGAUUCGUUAAAAAAAAGCUCAAUAAACCUCUUUGGUCUGUAGGCAUUCUCUUUAAUGGAAGUUUAGGGUUCAUAACUCAUCUAAGAAACACAGAUUGGGUCUUUGAGUUUCAUGAAUCAGUUUUUCUUCUUUAGUCUCUACAUCUCCCCAUCUUUAAUAAAUUCAUCGUCGGUUCUUUAAUUUUGCAUGAUAAAUCAUGAUUGUGUGGUUUUAAUUUUCUUUGGUCAUCUUUGGCUUGCACCCUUUGAUCUAGCUAAGAAGAAGAAGAAGACAUUUGUCGUUCAGGAUGCCAUCAAGGACUCAGCUGAGUCACACGGGAGACAUAAUAUAUGUUGCCUGAUUGUUCAAAAAGAGUUUAUGUGCUGUGAAACAUAUUUGUUUCUUUUCAUCAGUUGCUUUGUUUAAUCUUUUUUCCUGCAAAUAAUGAUGGCUUUGACAGUUCAUUCACGGGAGCCAAGAAGUAAAAGAAGAAGAAGCCAGUUGAAUGAAGAUCAUUGAAUAAAGAAAAUGUCGAUGCUCCUGAAGAUUUGGAGGAGCAUCCUAAUGAUGAGGAAGAGGUGGAGGGAAUUGAUCUGCACCAGCAACGUUACCCGUGGGAGGGAAGUGACAUGGAUUACUUAUACGACGAGGUAAGCAUAUCAUUAGAUGGUUUGCGGUCCAUCUUUGAGAGCCGUCGAUUGUAAGUGUCUAUCGUUUUGAAGUUGUACGACACUAAGAUGUAAAGAAUUACUAAUCACGAUUACCUUACUAGUUGAGUUCUUUUGCACAGCUAUUGUCAAUGGAAUUAACACUGAAAAUUGAUGGUGCUAUAUUUCAUGUUCCAAAUGCUAACGCAAGCUCCAAUGUUGAUUCUCAGCUUUAACAUGCCAAAAUCAGAAUGCAGUGGGUGUUGUAAGGUAAUUCAGUAGGCACAAAUGUUCAGUUGAAAAAAAAUUCUAAAUUGUAUUUAUGCAUCAAACUUAUCAUCUGUAACAUAAUAAUAUGCUUUUUCUGUGAUAGGAACCGUUUGUAAAUAAAUGUCUCGGAUGUAUAUGACUGCUUAGUUUGUUGCUUUUGACAGUGAAAUCACUAAGAUUGCAAUGUGUCAGGACAGCAAAAGCAUCUCAACUGAUGGUUAGUUUUACAAUUUCGUUGGUUUCUUUUUCCUAUUAUGUUGGAUGGAUUAUUUUAGCUAACAAAUAUCGCAACAGAGCGCUGGCAAUAACUCUAAUAGAUUUAUAUAUACAUUUAGAAUUGGAAGUUUUGUGAGAACAGAAACAAGUACUUCUGUCACGCUAUUGGAUAGUUAUACGCCAUUUCAAGAGAAUUGAUUUCUUAUAUUUCUCAUAAUCAGUAAGAUUUUAACUGUUUUGUCUACUUUGCAUUCAUACCUCAUUCUCCAUCUAACUUCUCGGUGCUACUAUAUAAUGAUCAAGUCAUUUUCUGCACAAAUAGGCAAGUGGGGAUGUUACGUUGGAUGUUUGGUUUAUUGGGCUUGGCUAUACAAAGUCUGUUGUGACUCUAAAAUUUUUAUCUCAUUUAACAUUGAUUCUGGUUCUUGGGAGAAUUGCAGAUUGUGAAUGAAAGGCACAAGCAGGGAACAUAUGUGUAGCUGCGUUCGAAUCGACAUGUAGCGGUAUCUGCAGAUCCGCUGAUCCCAUUGUAGAGGUUAACAUGCAAUGUGUUGACGUGGAAAUCAUUAUUUGGAAGCUACAUUUCGAGGCAUUUCCUCAACAUAUAAAUAGACCAUAGACAGAGUUUGAUGUUUAUAAUACUCAGUGAUCAUGGAGUCUGCAGAAAAUAGUCCUUUUGCAUAUUCUAUAUGGAACCAAGAGAUAUGUUCUUUGUUUGAUGAUUGUAUUAUGAUAGCUACUAACAUAGGAGAUGACUAGAGAAAGAGAAAUGAGUAUGAAACUCUUAUAUGGGUAGCUUUUGUAAACACAUUUGGGUUUAUUACAGUUGUGACAAACAAUUAUGUUUAUAGUAAAGGAAACCCGCCGCAGCGUCAAUAACAAAUGCGCCUGUUUUUUUGUUGUUUGGGA